rnacentral:rRNA from 1 species
GACGAACGCUGGCGGCGUGCUUAACACAUGCAAGUCGAACGGAAAGGCCCUGCUUGUGUGGGGUGCUCGAGUGGCGAACGGGUGUGUAACACGUGUGUAACCUGCCCUUGACUUUGGGAUAACUUCAGGAAACUGGGGCUAAUACCGGAUAGGCGCUCCUGCUGCAUGGUGGGGGGUGGAAUUUUUCGGCGGUUGGGGAUGGACUCGCGGCUUAUCAGCUUGUUGGUGGGGUAGUGGCUUACCAAGGCUUUGACGGGUAGCCGGCCUGAGGGGGUGACCGGCCACAUUGGGACUGAGAUACGGCCCGGACUCCUACGGGAGGAAGCAGUGGGGAAUAUUGCACAAGGGGCGGAAGCCUGAUGCAGCAACGCGGCGUGCGGGAUGACGGCCUUCGGGUGGUAACCGGCUUUGGUCUGUGCCGAAGCGUGAGUGACGGUAAUGGGUAAAGAAGCACCGGCUAACUACGUG